UGGCUACCUGAGAGGUCAGGUCGCCGGUGCCAAGCACCAGCCCCGCUCCCCCCUGUCGAACUGCUACUGAGUUUAGUCGUUAGGUCGCCGGUGCCAAGCACCCGCCCCCCUCCCUCUGCCGAACUGCUGCUGAGUUUAGCCCACGAUGCAAUCGCCUUCUUCAUCAGCUACGACUUCCCAUCGGUGCCGAUACAGGAACUACCUUAGCUCAAGCACGCAGCUCAACACCAGCUGAUAUUCUGAAGGUAAACAAAUUUCCUAUUUCCAUAUCAUAAUAUGUCCAUAGGAUAGAUAUGACAGGGAGUGCAAAUAGUUACAGGAACAACACAAAAAAGAAACAGAAAGUCUAUUAUCUGCAGCUGAACCAACGCCAGCAGAAUACACCGUGAGUAUUACCAUGUACUUAUUUCAACAGCAUUACCAAAAAGGAGGAAAAACAGAACAUAACAAACCAACAAUUCUUUGUACCAUACAGGCUUUAGCUACGAAUGUGAAAGAAUCGUCUAAACGACACCUCACUGAACAAGACCCAGAUUCAUUUGAUCCAAAAAACAUAAUCAAGUUAAAAUUCUUUCCCGCUACGGUUUCACGCUCAGUAUUUCUAAUCCAUGUAAAAAGGAUGAAUCAUCUUAUUUACUCAAACUCAAUAUACUUCGCAGUAAAAGACAUGCUAUAAGAAAACUGCUCUUCAAAGACUAAACUAUUACCAACUAAACUUCUAAUGGGGUAAGGCCUUCACCAAUAAACAUACACAUGCAUUUCCUUUUCAGGUUCGUCCAAAUAAAAAAAAAACUUGACUAUUGUACUCUUUCAUUUUCUUUCAGAUCUCAAGUGUUGCCACUAAAUAUGAGCACCAGCUGUUUACCUAACGCCUACCUCACAUGUAUCUCUAACCUCUCAAUGUGUAAAUAUAGUAUCUUACUGUACAGAUAAUACUAUCAGAGAGCAAUUCCUAUGUACCACCCUACCAUAUACAACUACUAUGUACUUUCCUUUCUAAACUAUAUUUUUUGUUAU